GGAGCGGCCGCCGUUGCCGGGCGCCGCCGCUGUCCCCGCUCGGCGCCGGCCGCGCUGCGCUGCGCCAUGAAGGCGAUCGUGCAGCGGGUGGCCCAGGCCAGCGUCACAGUGGGUGGUGAACAAAUCAGUUCAAUAGGACGAGGCCUCUGCGUGCUGCUGGGCAUUUCUUUGGAAGAUACACAAAGAGAACUGGAGCACAUGGUUCGAAAGAUCUUGAACUUGAGAGUCUUCGAAGAUGAAAGUGGGAAGCACUGGUCUAAAAGUGUCAUGGAUAAACAGUAUGAAGUGCUGUGUGUGAGCCAAUUCACUCUCCAGUGCAUCCUGAAGGGAAACAAGCCUGACUAUCACAUGGCAAUGCCCACGGAGCAGGCAGAGUCUUUUUAUAACAACUUCCUAGAGCAGCUAAGAAAAGCCUACAAACCAGAGCUUAUUAAAGAUGGCAAGUUUGGUGCCUACAUGCAGGUCCACAUCCAGAAUGAUGGUCCUGUAACAAUAGAACUGGAGUCCCCAGCAGCCACUGUUGACCCUAAACAACUGACAAAACUUGAAAAACAGCAACAAAGAAAAGAGAAGACCAGAACCAAGGUGCCCUCUGAGUCAAGUAGAGAAAGAAAUGCCCCCAGAAACAAGGAUGACCCCAGUGCCAGCAGCGGAGCAGAAGGAGAUGUGUCCUCGGAAAGAGAGCCUUAGCUCAUCCAAGGCAGGCCUCAGGUUUGGCUUCUCCUCUCCUCUGGAAUGCUUGGCCCCCUGCCUCUUUUACUGAAGCAGCACAUGCAAAGAGUGGCAUUAGAAGUGCUGGAAGUUUCUUACACAAAAGCUACACUGAAUCCUUGAAGAAAGACCCAACACUGGCCUCAGCAACACUCCUCAACGACUUUGGAGAAGGAAGGAAAAUGGGAAAGCAGAGCUGAGACAUUAGAAACCUUUCAUUCUGUAUUGAACCAACCAAAGCAAUGCUAUCAGAUUCAGUUGUUAAUGUGUAGUGUCAGUAGUGAAAAGGACUUGUGACAUUUCUGUGUACGCGUUCUCACACGACUGCUGAGCAAAGGGUGACUGUAGGCAGAUUGUAGCAGAGCAUUUCACUCUCAGUACAUAAGCUCCAUUUAAAGAAUAAAUCAGGGUUUUUUCCUUAAACUUACACUUGAAUUCUGAAAAUUCUCUGAGCAGGCUUGUGUAUUGAUUCUCAGUCCGUGGUGUCAUGUGCUACCUGUUUCCAUUGCAGUGUGCAGAUCUGUGCAUAUUUUGGUAAAUUGUUAGCUGCUGCCUAACAUCAGGUUAGGCAGUCCAGUCUUUCUGCAUGGAUUAAGUUAUUACAAGAGAAGAUCAACCUCUAGUUGUUUAUCGUGUGGAACACAUCUGUCUUGUAAACUUUUUUAAAACCGGAAAAAACUUUAUUAAACAAAUGAUGCCA